UACGGGAAAAGAUGCAUUGCCUCAAAUACCCUCAAAGUCCUCCCGCUCGCUGUGAGCACACGGUCCCACCGUCCUGGCCACUUUCUGAAGCAGGCCUGCGAGUCCUCUUUUGUGAGUGGCUUAAGUUGCACCGACAUAGCUGCCUCCACUCCCUGAAUUGAUUCAAAAUGUUUUCCUUUUUAGGGCGUUUUGAUUCUGGGGAAGGAGAGCCAGAAGUUGCGUGGAGCAGGUCCGGUGUGGGCAGUGAUGUUUCACCGCCCUGCCCUGCCCUUUUCAUGAGCCAGGUGGAUGGCGCCUGGCGGCAGCACUGGCUAUAUUUUGAUCCCACCUUGUGAAGACCGUCAGGAAAUAGCCCUUCUGGAACUGCUGCAGAAAGUGGCAGGGACGAUGGCAUAGGCGUGUUCCAAGCGAGGGAGAGGAUUUCGAGGGGGAUUCGUGGCAGUGCGUUUUUUAGUGUAAUAAUUAAAAAAAAAUAGAUAGGCACCGGUGUUGUGAUUAGUUCUUGUAAACAGAGAUGCUUGGCAGGGAGGCUUGGUGGCAAUCUUGCCCUUGAGGCCCUUUCCUACUGGGUGUGGGCGUGGAGUCAGCUCCGGGACGUGCGGAAAGGUUUGGGAGCAGGGUGGACCAGGCCGGAGCCGGCGGCUGAGUGUGCAGCCGGGCUGUGUGCAUUUGAGCCAGGGGCAAGGCGCAGGAUGCAGACAGCUCGGACGAGGCUGAGGCAGGAGGGGGCGCCGGCAGGGGGCAGCCCAGAGCCACGGACCGGGUAGAAGACGAGCCCCAGGCCCGCUGCUGUGGCCAGGAGCUCAGGCCCCUUUGUUCGCAAGAAACCAUUUAAAACGCCCGUCCCCAGCACGCGUGCGGGCAGCGCGGGGUGCGGGGACGGUGCGAGGACAGGGGCGCGCGGAACACAGCGCGCGCGUUCGCCCGCGCGGCCGGGCUUGCAGGCUCCAGGUCAGCAGUAACCAACAAAGACGUCUCUUCACAGCGACGAAAGGACACAGGGCUGCGGCGCGAGGGGCCCAAGCAGGUGGCCCAGGCGGCCUGGCGGUGCCCACCUGGCACGGAGGGAGGAGGUGCGCGCACUCCCGCCUGCAGAGGUCAGAGGGAGCGGAUCUUCUCCUCCCAUCCGGCCCCCUCUCCCCUGCCUGGGCUUUUCUUCCAGGAACGGAAUGAGCUACUUUAGCAGUUGAAAGGACAUUCCAUUCCCGUGACAGACAGGAGCCGGAUGCGGGCAUACCUCUGCCCUCUUUCUCCUAGGAAGGGUCAGGCAAUGAAUCACAACGAGUGAAAGUUUAAAACAGCAUUUCUUUAACUUCUAAAGGCCUCUCUCACUGACUUCCAAAGUGCCACCAACUGCUGUCUUCACAUCCCCAGCAAGGACCCAUUGCAGAACCUGUGCUGACCAUGGCGAAUUUUAUCUCUUCAGUAUUACCCUCAGGAAAUGGGUUCUUUUGGCACUAAAGUUGUCUAUUACGGAACGAAGGCGGACAGAGGAUUUUAAAACAGUGGGAAAAAAUGAUCCCCAUGGCAAAGAUCAUUCUGCUGUAUUCUGUUCUCUCUGUGUGGGGAGCCACCAACCCCAGCUCCUGAACCAAUCCGUCUGCCAGAGAAUCUGGAAGUUGCCCAUCAGAAAGGCUCUCCAUAAUGAGCCGCCCAGUAGGAGACACCAGCAGGGAUGAGAAUGAGAGACCAGGUAUUUCCCCAAGAGAACAGAACAUGUUUGAAGUUCAAACCCAUCUUUAACCACAAGGUUUCGCCCUUUAGGCCCUAAACACAUUGCAGUGCACAAGUGGGCUGGAGGGAGAAGGACGGUCUUACUAAACACUUGCUUCCGGAAGCAUUGUCUUCAGCUUCCUGACUCCAGUGCAAUUUAGCGACUUUCUCUGCAAGUAUGUGCAGUCUUCAUGUAACUACCACACAAUCAAGAUGCAGAGCACUUUUGUCACCUUCCAAAGUCCCCUAUGUCACCUUGCUGCCAGUCUUUUUCCAAGACCCUGACUUCGGGUCCCCGGUUGCCUCCAGGACCUCAGCAGCCCUGGCUGUAGGGUGAGGUGGUCUGAGAGGCUGAGGGUCUCUGGGGUGUGAGGUACGUGCCACAGAUGGGAUCUGUCAGCAUCUCUUGGGUCCCCCCUGAGUGGGACCUCCUCAGUCCCUUCCCCAGGAAGCAGAGAAAAAGCAAGGGGCUCUGUGAGCUGCCAGACAGACCUCACUGGGGAUCUGCUGACGUCCACUCACUUCCUGGCAGAGCUCCCUGAAGACAAGACCAGGGACCAGGGACAGGAAGUAGGAAAAAACUGGAGAGAGAAGGUUAGAAGGAAUUAAAAAUGAAAAAGAGGACUGGAGCCAGCAGCGUGGAUGCCGUCAGCCAGCUGGAGGGAAGGAGUGAGCAGCUGAGGUUCCUUCCAAGGGAGUUGGCGGAGCCGGGAGGAGCUGCCGCCAAGCCCACGGCCGGCCCGGCCAAGGCCUCCUCCUCCUCCUCGGGGCCACUGCCCUGCGCCUUGGAGGCCCGGGUCUCCCGGUGGGUGCAGGGCCCCGGGUCUUCCUGUCCUCGUCGGUGCUGAGCUGCCCUCCAGCCAAGAUCCCCUGCUGUCCUGCCUCUCCGGUCCCCCAGUCCUCUCCGCAGCGGCCUAUCCAGGCCACACGUUGUUACCUGGAUUACUGCGAAACUCUGCCCUGGCACCUUCCUGAGGGUGCAGCAGUGCAAGGGGACAAGUGGCUGCCGGAAAGGCUCAGCUGCAGGGAACAGGUGGAGUACCUGUGUCCUGGAGAGGAAAGGAUCGAAAUUGUCAGUUGUUUACCUGUCUGUGCCACGACCCCUUCAGCGUGGGAGCACUUCGUCGCUUAAGAAAAUGUCUGUUGAGUAACAAUGACCUUUCCUUUCCCUGGCCCAGGAGCCCCUCAAGGCAGGACACUGUGCCCCAUCACCAGGACAGUGGCCCAGCACUUGGCUAAUUG